GACAGAGGGUGCAAACGUUGUUCGGAAUUACUGGGCGUAAAGGGCUCGUAGGCGGCCAACUAAGUCCGACGUGAAAUCCCCAAGCUUAACUUGGGAACUGCGUCGGAUACUGGAUGGCUUGAAUUCGGGAGAGGGAUGCAGAAUUCCAGGUGUAGCGGUGAAAUGCGUAGAUAUCUGGAGGAAUACCGGUGGCGAAGGCGGCAUCCUGGACCGACAUUGACGCUGAGGAGCGAAAGCUAGGGGAGCAAACGGG
rnacentral:rRNA from 1 species